UUAUCUAAUGAUUAAAAAAUGCGCGUGAGAGCUCUUGUGAUACGCCGAUGUAUUCUUAAAUGCAUCUCGAUUUAUAUUACAUAUAAAUUUAGCUUUGUGUAUCAUUGUAGAGUUCUGUGAGGUGAAGAUUAUGAGAUCUGAAGAUAA